UCCCUGGUAGCUCAGAUGGUAAAGAAUCUGCCUGCAGUGCAGGAGACCUGAGUUCAAUCUCUGGCUGGGGAA
rnacentral:tRNA from 1 species